rnacentral:rRNA from 1 species
AUUGAACGCUGGCGGCAGGCCUAACACAUGCAAGUCGAGCGAGAGGCGGACGGGUGAGUAAUGUAUGGGGACUGCCCGAUAGAGGGGGCGAACUACUGGAAACGGUGGCUAAUACCGAAUACUACAGGAUAACCCGUAUGGGAUUAGCUAGCAGGUGGGGUAAAGGCGCACCUAGGCGACGAUCUCUAGCUGGUCUGAGAGGAUGAGCAGCCACACUGGGACUGAGACACGGCCCAGACUCCUACGGAGUCAGCAGUGGGGAAUAUUGCACAAUGGACGCAAGCCGGAUGCAGCCAUGCCGCGUGUAUGAAGAAGUCCUUAGGGUUGUAAAGUACUUUCAGCGGGGAGGCGUUACCCGCCGAAGAAGCACCGGCUAACUCCGUGCCAGCCGCCGCGGUAAUAC